rnacentral:rRNA from 1 species
GCAGUGAGGAAUAUUGGUCAAUGGCCUAACGGCUGAACCAGCAACUUGGAGGAAUGUAUAGGGAAAACUGGUAAAAUGUGAUGUACCUAGUAGUAUUAGUAAUAAAUAUAAGAUUAACUAAGUUAAUUAAAAUUCUAAGUAGGUAUUUGAUUAUGACAAUAUCUGCAUAGGUCUUGACCAAGUCACGUGCCAGCAGUCGCGGUAAUACGUGGAAGACAAGUGUUAUUCAUAUUUAUUGGGUUUAAAGGGUACCUAGACUGUUAAUUAAGCAAUAAAUUGUACUGAUUAACUAGAGUUUAAUGUAAGAAGGAUUGAGUACGGUGAGAGUAGAGAUAAAAUUCUUUGAUACCGUUUAGGCACUGGCAAGAGCGAAGGCUACCUUCAA